UCAUCCGAUCCCUAGUCGGCAUAGUUUAUGGUUAAGACUACGACGGUAUCUGAUCGUCUUCGAUCCCCUAACUUUCGUUCUUGAUUAAUGAAAACAUCCUUGGCAAAUGCUUUCGCAGUAGUUAGUCUUCAAUAAAUCCAAGAAUUUCACCUCUGACAAUUGAAUACUAAUGCCCCCAACUAUCCCUAUUAAUCAUUACGUCAAUCCUAGAAACCAACAAAAUAGGAUCGAACGUCCUAUUUCAUUAUUCCAUGCUAAUGUAUUCAAGCGUUAGCUUGCUUUAAACACUCUAAUUUUUUCAAAGUAACAGUCCAAAUUCCCCGCAACACCAAAUUAAUGGCAUUACGGCUCAUCAGGAAGGAGGAAUCAGUGAGACCAGUACAUACCAGAGGCAUGACCAACCUACUAACCCCGAAAUUCAACUACGAGCUUUUUAACUGCAACAACUUUAAUAUACGCUAUUGGAGCUGGAAUUACCGCG
rnacentral:rRNA from 1 species